GAAAUUUAUUCUCCUGAACAUGUGUAAAAAGUGAGUUAGUACAGUAUAUUCGCUUUGGGAAACGGCACGUUAUAGUUUCUCGCCUCUUUACGUAAAUAGUAAAACUUUUCGUACGUGUUUACUGUCCCAAAAUAUGCAGUUAACCUCGAAAAACUCUAGUAAAUUAUUUAUUUAAAUUUUAAACUUCUUAUCGUGGUUACCCUUAGCUUGGGUAGUUUUUUGUAGUUUUCUAUGCUUGUAUUGUAUCUCGAAUUUUAAACAAUUUAAUUUACACG